AAUUGUAAUUAGCAAGAAGAGGCUUCGUGCCGUACUAUCUUCAUUGUUUACCUGUAUAGUCUGUAGUCUGUAUGGCAUGUUGUUAUUUCAUGUCACAUUUGCUUGAUGGCUUUUAACAGAAUUACAUAGUCACUUGUAACCAGAAUUGCUUGUGAUUACAUCUGUGCUAAAGCAAGAGCCCCACUGUCAAGUGUUUCCAUUGUUCACCUAAUUAACUAUGUAACCAAAUUUGUAAGUUUAGGUUGAAGUAGAAUCAGAUGGCUAGAUUGCUGUGAAAAGUUUUCGAAUGGAGAUGAUGGCAAGUGCAAAGGCAAUCGUGAUUGAUGUUAAUAAGCAUAGUACAAGAAGUAAUGUACAUUAUUAGAUGUCACAUCAAGUCAUACUUGUGAAAGUGUGACUAUACCUCGGAGCUUUUUUAUCAUUUCUUAAGAUGCAAAAAGCUUCAGCUUCUAAAAAUAUGCAUAUCUCAAACCAAGAGGAACUACCAAAGAGGAGUUGACUGUGAAAUUGGAAGACAACUGAAAUGAUGAAUGAAGACAACUGAAAUCCAAAAUAAAUGUGGCACGCUUUUUCAAUUACGAAGUAUUGGAAUUGGCAAGUUCCAAAUAAUUUUUUUUGGCACAUUAGUCCGUUGCUGUUCGCUGCUGAUCAAUAGUUGAACUAACACAUGCUAUAUUAGAUAAGAAAAUGAAGGAUACAUUGGCCGUUAAAAGACCACUAUGUCAUGGCGCUAUGAAGAGUGAAUAUUGUGGUUACCUUUUCUACAAUAAUGGGACAAUCACCACGUUGGGCAAUCAAUAUCUUGAAAGGUUCUGCAACCACAACUUUAAUCUGAAACCUUGUUCGUCAUGCUCGUGAUGGUAAUCGCCGGAAACAUGUAAGUCAGACAGUUUUCGAUUUCUUCUAAAUGGAAAGUGCCGCUGAUAGUAAGCUUCCACAAAUUUCGAUAGAUUUAUUUAUUUUUUUUUUUUUUUUUGCUUUUUCUGGU